rnacentral:tRNA from 1 species
GGGCCCAUAGCUCAGUUGGAUAGAGCGUCUGGCUACGAACCAGGAGGUCGCAGUUUCGAGUCCUGCUGGGCCCG